AGUGAACGCUGGCGGUAGGCCUAACACAUGCAAGUCGAACGGCAGCACAGUAAGAGCUUGCUCUUACGGGUGGCGAGUGGCGGACGGGUGAGGCAUACAUCGGAAUCUACUUUUUCGUGGGGGAUAACGUAGGAACACUUACGCUAAUACCGCAUACGACGUACGGCUUAAAGCAGGGGAUCUUCGGACCUUUCCCGAUUGAUUGAGCCGACGUCGGAUUAGCUAUGUGGCGGGGUAAAGGCCCACCAAGGCGACGAUCCGUAGCUGGUCUGAGAGGAUGAUCCGCCCCACUGGAACUGAGACACGGUCCAGACUCCUACGGGAGGCAGCAGUGGGGAAUAUUGGACAAUGGGCGCAAGCCUGAUCCAGCAAUACCGCGUGGGUGAAGAAGGCCUUCGGGUUGUAAAGCCCUUUUAUUGGGAAAGAAAAGCAGCAGGUUAAUACCCCGCUGUUCUGACGGUACCCAAAGAAUAAGCACCGGCUAACUUCGUG
rnacentral:rRNA from 1 species